AAAUCAUAAACAUCAACAAUACAAUCUAUUCUAAGCAUAAAUUCAUCAAUACCCAAUCAUUAUCAACAAACCCAUUUCGUAAGUCAAAUAUAGAAAUUUGUGAAAUCAAGGGUUCAUGAGAUUUUUCACUUGAAAACAUCAAUUUAAUAUCAACAAUAUCACAAUCCAUCAUUUAAAACCAUUUAAUGCAAGAACCCUUGAGUAGAGUAAGAAAUAGAAGUUUUUCAUAACUUUUGAGAAUUUGAAAACCCUUUGAAAUUGG
rnacentral:lncRNA from 1 species